rnacentral:lncRNA from 1 species
UUUGAUCCCAGAGACUCACAAGGUAUACAAAGAGUCUGGUCAGCUGUCCUCAAUCUUUCACUCCAUACAUAGCAUGGCAUGCUCAUGUAUGUAUACACACACACACAUCUAUACAUAAUAAAAACUUUAAAGGAUUCUAAAAUUAUUCGGUAAAUAAUAACACAUUAUUUUAAACUCAAAGGAGCGAACUAAGACAGCUGUUGUAAUGUUUCCCUACCAGUUCAGCAUCCCCUGUCUUCAGUUUCAUAAGAAUUUUAACUUUCUCUGUUGUUCUUCAAAGUGACUUUUAUAUGGUUUAAUAUUAAGCAUGACCUGGGAUGGGAAAGGCAGCAGGAAAGAUAAAUUGUAUCGUGUUUGGCCAAACAGCAGGAAUGGACAGAUUCAGAGAAGCCGAUAAAAAAAAUGAAAAAUAAUAAUAAUUAAAAAAAGGAACACAGGCGUACUUUUUUACAAACAAACAACAAAGCAUAAAAGGCUUAAAACUCUGAGGAACUGGGGAUCACAUGCUGAGCCAUGGCUCGCAAGAAAUCUAUCCUGAACCAUUCUAAUAUUCUAUUGCAUUGACUAAAUCCUCCUAGUGUUUUGUUUGCUUUUGUUUUUGUUUGUUUGGUUUUUGUCUGUGGGGAAGGGUUUUUGGUUGGUUGGUUUCUUUUGGUUUGUUUUGGUUUUUUGAUUUUUUUGUUUUUUCACUUUACCAUUUUUCAAAGAGAUCAGAGUACUAUUUAGGGUUGGUAAUGUGCUUUUCAAAGACGUCACCCUGGGCUGGAGAGUUGGCGCAGCAUUUAAACACUCUUACUGUACUUGCAAAGGAAGGACCCAUGUUCAGUUCCCAGCACCCUCAUGGUGGCUACAACUAUCUGUAAUGGGAUCCGAUGCCCUCUUCUGGAUCCCCUGCAUUCUUCUGACCACCAAGGGAACCAAGCAUGCAAAAUACACAUAUACAUAAAACAAAUCUAUUAAGGAAAAUUUUAAACUGAAAGCAUUGUAUCCAGAUGGAUUUUUUUAAAGAUUUAUUUAUUUAUCUUAUGCAUAUGAGUACAUCACCAUUGCUCCCUUCAGACACACCAGAAGAAGGUGUCAGACCUCAUUACAGAUGAUCCGGAAGAACAGUCAGCGGUUUAGAGCUCUUCCAGAGGUCCUGAGUUCAAAUCCCAGCAACCACCUCGUGGCUCAAAACUGUCUGUAAUGGGAUCCCAUGUGAUGCCCUCUUCUGGUGUGUCUAUCUGAAGACAGCUACAGUGUGUGUGUGAGAGAGAGAGAGAGAAUGGUUCUCGCCAUCAUUGUCAUCCUCCUCCUCCUCAUCAUCAUCAUCAUCGUGGUCCUUGUCACAGGGUUAAGAAACGAGACUCAGAUGCAUCUGGCAUAUACUCUACCUCUGAGCCACACACCCCAACUCUUAUGAAUGUUUUUGAAAAAAAAAAUUAGUAUCCAAGUUAGGGAAAGAAUGGCAAUUCAUAGACUAUGCAGUCUUCCCUCUAAUUCCUACUGAAAUGUUCUGCUUGGGUAAAAGUUCCGCCUUUUCCAGAUUCCUCCCAUACCUGUUCAUGUCGACAGUAAAAGCUUCAAAGGGCGUUUCUCCGCUUUGCCAUCAGCACAUCCUCACCCCAAAGGCUGCUUUUUCUUAUGGAUGUGGUUUACACGUACUUCUGUAAAAUAAUUGUCUCGUGCUAAGGUCUUUGUACAGCACUGCAAACUUCUUCAGCAUUCUAAAAUGUAUCCAAUUUAGACUAUCAAGAUGGAGCAGCAGGUAAUGGUCCUUGCUAGUGAGUUUGGGGAGCAGAGUUCUGUCUGCCACAGGGGAAGGAGAGACCUGAAUCUUACAAGCUGACUUCCACCCACCCACACAAUUAAUUUUUUUUUAAUUAAAGAAAGUACUCUUUAAAAGGAGAAAAAGAAAAAUAAAGAAGAGGAGAAGAAG